ACGUAGGGGGCGCGCGUUAUUCGGAAUUACUGGGUGUAAAGGGUAUGUAGGCGGCCCUUCAAGUAGCGUGUCAAAGUACAGUGCUCAACGCUGGGUGUGCGCGCGAUACUGACGGUCUUGAGGGCUGGAGAGGUGAGCGGAAUUCCCGGUGUAGGGGUAAAAUACGUAGAGAUCGGGAGGAACGCCAUCGGCGUAGGCAGCUCACUAGACAGUUUCUGACGCUAAGAGUCGAAAGCGUGGGGAGCAAACAG
rnacentral:rRNA from 1 species